rnacentral:rRNA from 1 species
UACAGAGGUCUCAAGCGUUGUUCGGAUUCAUUGGGCGUAAAGGGUGCGUAGGCGGCGCGGUAAGUCGGGUGUGAAAUCUUGGAGCUUAACUCCGAAACUGCAUUCGAUACUGCCGUGCUUGAGGGCUGGAGAGGAGACUGGAAUUUACGGUGUAGCGGUGAAAUGCGUAGAUAUCGUAAGGAAGACCAGUGGCGAAGGCGGGUCUCUGGACAGUUCCUGACACUGAGACACGAAGGCCAGGGGAGCAAACGGG